GAUGAACGCUGGCGGCGUGCCUAAUACAUGCAAGUCGAGCGAACAGAUAAGGAGCUUGCUCCUUUGACGUUAGCGGCGGACGGGUGAGUAACACGUGGGUAACCUACCUAUAAGACUGGGAUAACUUCGGGAAACCGGAGCUAAUACCGGAUAACAUUUGGAACCGCAUGGUUCUAAAGUGAAAGAUGGUUUUGCUAUCACUUAUAGAUGGACCCGCGCCGUAUUAGCUAGUUGGUAAGGUAACGGCUUACCAAGGCAACGAUACGUAGCCGACCUGAGAGGGUGAUCGGCCACACUGGAACUGAGACACGGUCCAGACUCCGACGGGAGGCAGCAGUAGGGAAUCUUCCGCAAUGGGCGAAAGCCUGACGGAGCAACGCCGCGUGAGUGAUGAAGGGUUUCGGCUCGUAAAACUCUGUUAUUAGGGAAGAACAAAUGUGUAAGUAACGGUGCACGUCUUGACGGUACCUAAUCAGAAAGCCACGGCUAACUACGG
rnacentral:rRNA from 1 species